CCUACGGGAGGCAGCAGUGGGGGAUAUUGCACAAUGGGGGGAACCCUGAUGCAGCGACGCCGCGUGGGUGAAGGAGUGCUUCGGCAUGUAAAGCCCUAUCGGCAGGGAAGAAGCAAGACGGUACCUGACUAAGAAGCCCCGGCUAACUACGUGCCAGCAGCCGCGGUAAUACGUAGGGGGCGAGCGUUAUCCGGAUUAACUGGGUGUAAAGGGAGCGUAGGCGGCCAUGCAAGCCAGGGGUGAAAGCCCGGGGCCCAACCCCGGGACUGCCCUUGGAACUGUGCGGCUAGAGUGCGGGAGGGGCAGGCGGAAUUCCUGGUGUAGCGGUGAAAUGCGUAGAUAUCAGGAGGAACACCGGCGGCGAAGGCGGCCUGCUGGACUGCGACUGACGUUGAGGCUCGAAAGCGUGGGGAGCGAACAGGAUUAGAUACCCCAGUAGUC
rnacentral:rRNA from 1 species